CCCGUUGCAGUACGAGAGCCUGACGUGUGAAAGAAAAAACAUGAUUUUGCAGAUGAGAUUAGAGGGUUUUAUAGCUUUUUUUGCUCUGUGCCAAGUCUGAUUUAUAUUCCUCUUCUGUUACAACUUUUUGGGAUUUUCAGAAGUGUGUUGAUUGACAGGCUUAUAUAUGUGUUUGGAGCUAAAACCUGAUAAAUAGUAGCAGCAGAUGUAAAAGGUUGUUCAAUCAAGCAGAGACCAAGCUUCUUCUGCAUUGGGUAUAAUAAUUAGUUGCAUUGGGUAUAAUAAUUAGUUUUACACAUUUUUUCAUUUUUGGUGUUAGCCUUUUCAAGAUUUCAAUUAUAUUAGUCAUUAGAUAGCAAAUACAUAUAGAUGGUGAAUUGAAAAUUUGAGUUGAAUAAAGAUAAGAUUCAUAUAUCUCAAACUGGAGACAUAGGAUGUGCUCUUUGGUGGAUAAAUUUAUCAUGAGAAAAUGAGAGAUAAUAAAAAUGUAUGCCUUUAAAUGUCUCAUUUCUUUUAUCUCAUUUUCUAUAAAAGAGAAGCUCACCAUUUUUUGUUCUUUCUUUUCACUUCAAGGAAGCAUAAUAUUAUCACUCUAAAAAUGAAGUGAUAAUAUUAUCCCUUGUUUAUUUUGAUAAAUUGAAAUUUUAGAAUAUCUCAAGAUCAAGUACAUUGAAAGCAUGUAAAGAUAUGUCUAGACGUUUUUCUAAAAAGUUAUUUCAUCUUCUAAAAAAAUAAAUUAAUUUUCAUUAUUAAUACAUAACAUUUUAAUUUAACUUGAAGAUUGAUUCAAAUUCAACAUUGAAAAUUAAUUAAGAAAUAGAAUUGGAACAAAAAAUGACAUAAUUUUAACUAACUAGUAUAACAAAUUAAUGUAAAAUGUUAGGCCAUUAACAUAGAUACUACAAUUAUUAAAAUAAUAUAUUAUAUUCCUUUUUUUUUAUAUUAUAUGCAUAUAUAAUAAAAAAAAUUCAAAAUUUGGGAGCGGGCUUCAGUCCCUGGAGCCAGGAAUUAAGUUGGGGGGGGGGCUGUGCGGGGGUUCGGGGGGCGGCAAGGUUCCCCCGAAAUUUUUUUUUUUGGGUCAUUCUCNUUAUAGCUUUUUUUGCUCUGUGCCAAGUCUGAUUUAUAUUCCUCUUCUGUUACAACUUUUUUGGGAUUUUCAGAAUUGUUGAUUGACAGGCUUAUAUAUGUGUUUGGAGCUAAAACCUGAUAAAUAGUAGCAGCAGAUGUAAAAGGUUGUUCAAUCAAGCAGAGACCAAGCUUCUUCUGCAUUGG
rnacentral:lncRNA from 1 species